GGCAAGAUGGCCGAGCGGUUAUGGCGGUAGGUUCAAGGCAUAAACCUUACCUGUACUACAGGAAGCAUUCUACUGGGGAAACCCGCGUGGGUUCGAAUCCCACUCUUGUCA